UACGUAGGGUGCGAGCGUUAAUCGGAAUUACUGGACGUAAAGCGUGCGCAGGCGGCUUUGCAAGACAGAUGUGAAAUCCCCGGGCUCAACCUGGGAAUGGCAGUGGAUACUGGCAAGCUAGAGUGCGGUAGAGGGUAGUGGAAUUCCCGGUGUAGCAGUGAAAUGCGUAGAGAUCGGGAGGAACACCAGUGGCGAAGGCGGCUACCUGGACCAGCACUGACACUGAAGCACGAAAGCGUGGGGAGCAAACAGG
rnacentral:rRNA from 1 species